CUGACACAAUAAAUAAGCCACCUCUAUUACCAGCCAGCCCUGUACCCGCCGAGGGAGGGAGCGAGGGAGGAAGGGAGGGCAGCGGCAUCGCACAUUCCUCCCUGAGAACAGGAGGGAGAAGCAGCGCAGCCUCCGCAAUCAGCAGCAGAAGCCUGAGCUGCGGCGCGGACCGUCUCCAGCUCUGCCCGCUCCUCCCCACCGCCGGAUCCCUGCAUCGGAAUGAGCGCCUGAAGCCCGGUGCCAGGGAGGACAAGUUGCAGCAAUCCUGGGGGCACCCCGAGCCGAGAGGAAGGGGCAUCUGGGGGGAUGGCCAGGAAUUAUUGACCGGGAUCUUUGAUGGCUCCUAUCUAUUGCCAACUCUGAGGAACAGAAAGCUGAUUCAUGGAUGGUCGGGGGCUUCCUGGGGCAGAGCAUGAAGCCUGAGACUUUGCUGUGAGCUCCUUCAUGCGUGGCGGUGCUGCUGGGGAUCCACUCUGUCACUUUGUGGGGAUUCGCUGACUUGGGGAGCGACAUGCAGCUGCUGAAGGCUCUAUGGGCACUAGCAGGGGCGGCCAUCUGCUGUUUACUUCUCUUUCUUAUCCACUCUCAGUUCCUUAAAGAAGGUCAACUGGCUGCAGGUACGUGUGAGGUUGUUACAUACGACAGAGAUAGCAGUCAGCCCCGAAGGACCAUAGCCCGACAAACUGCUCGCUGUGCAUGUAGAAAAGGACAGAUUGCCGGCACAACAAGAGCAAGGCCAGCCUGCGUAGAUGCACGUAUUAUCCGAACGAAACAGUGGUGUGAAAUGCUUCCAUGUUUAGAAGGGGAAGGCUGCGAUUUAUUAAUCAAUAAGUCAGGUUGGACCUGCACGCAACCAGGUGGGCGAAUAAAGACAACUACGGGGUUUUCCGCGACCCAGCAGGACCCAUCAACCCAUCUUAAUUAAUCCUAACUUGACUGCAGAAGAAGGUUUCCAAUAUAUUUACCAUCCCGAAUUUGCAACCACUCUUCAACCUGGUCAUGUGGUCUCCUGACAAAUGCAACAACCAUACUCUGAAAAAGGAGUUCAGGCUUGUGAGAGCUAUGUACUUUAAACAAAUUCUCUGCUGUGGAUCCUCAUCUUGUAUGUCAUCAACUCUGUCUGUUCCCCGGUAUCUCAUAAAAGACGGCAUAAUUCUCUACGUUAUGAGCAAAACUCUGUCCUUCCAUGUAAAGGAUCACUGGCAACAAGAAAACUGUAUGUUGAUAUGAGAUAUGCUUGGGCAUUAGCAAUACAGUUAACAUUUCAUCUAUGAUGUGUACACCACUGCUAGACUUGAUGAUAUCAACUUCUCUGAAACUGAAUAUUCUACCAUUUUGAAGAGUAUUCUUCCCCUUAUCAGCCUUAGAAAGAAGACUGUUUUAUCUACAAGAGGACUAAAAAUAAAAGAGUGACUCCUUGUGCCCUGGACUGUCUGAAUUGCUUUUAUUUUCUUAUAUGUUGGAUAUAAAUACAAUAGACCAAAGAGUAAAGCCUAUGUUCAAAAGGACACGGACCUAAUAUCGAGCAUAUUGGGGUUAAAUGUAAAGGUUAAACAUGAAUGCUUCUUAUGAUUUAUCAAAAGGACAUGUUUUGAGCCUUUUCAACUUGGGAGUUUUACUAUGUAGUGGACAUCAGUAUGGACAACUGCAGCAAAAUGGAUGCAGAGAUAGCUCUUCACUAGAACAUCUAAAGAACCUAAUGGAGCAUGGAGAAAACAGUAACAGCCUAUGUUUCAAAACACAUUUCACAAAACAGAAACUGUCUUAAUGAUAUCUUUAUUCCUCUGUACUUAGAAUGACAUUCCCAUACUAAACUCAUUUUCAGUUUUAACCAGUAAAAUAUGCCUCUUCUACAAUUCCAUUUUGAUAGUUGAAAUUGGAUAAAACGGUAUUUGCUAAAGAGCAUGUUUGGUCACCUGGCCUCAUUCAGUCCACCAUUUAGCACCAGAAAGAAAAUUCAAGAAAAAAGUGAUACUUGUUUGAAAGAGAUCAUUAAAUGUAUUUUGAAAAGCCUAAAGUUAUAUAUUUAACAGUUUUUAUAUGUUGUAUAUUUGUAGAAAAUCCUAUUUAACAAUUAACGUAGUAACUCUACAAUGGGAAAAUGUCAGAGUUCUGUUAUGUUUAUUACUUCAGUUGUCUCUGAAGUCACCAGUGUAGUUUUGCUUUCUUCCAUUGGGACGUUUUGGAUGUAAAGCAUGAGCAGAGAGGACUCUGUAGAAAAAGCAAAGAAUAUUGUUUAUAUAAUAUAAAUGCAUUCAACCAUUGCAAUGUUGACAGGCAUUUUUUUUUGUCUUUGCGUACUGGUGAAAAUAGUCAAAAAACAUAUCUACAUUGCUUUUUCAAAUAACUUUCGAUCCUUCUUAAGGAUGCACAUAUUCUACAGUUUAUGGGGAUGUGUAUGAAGAGUAUAUAUAGUCCUAUUGCUUAUGCAGAAGGUAAUGAUAUUUGUCAUUAUAGACCAUGGCUAUAUGUAUCUUAAUAGAUAUUACCCAUAUUCUGUACAAGAUUUACCUCAUCUUUAGAAAUCUAUUUUUAUUCUUCAGUUUCAUGAAGCAAGCAGUUACAUUUAAAUUGUGUGGAAUCUAGUCAUUCAAUAGGAAGCCCAAAUCUUUUUGUUGUAUUCUCUGAGAAGUUAGUGCAUUACAAAUUAGUGUUCUGUCUUCCUUGCAAAUUUUUAUUUUUUUUAUUUUAGUUAUUUACCUUACUUAUGUUUUAAUUGUCUCAACAAAAGCAUUGAAAACUACCACAUUAAACAUAUUUUACAUUUGUCUAGCUCUAUCAUACUAAACUACAUGCAACAUUAAAUUGCAGGUUAAAAUUAGAACUUUACUAAGGUUAAAAAUGAUCUGGGAGGUAAUGGUAGUAACACACGUUGUGGAUACUGAACGGCUAUGGAUGGAUU